ensembl:lncRNA
CAUAAAAUUCUUUUAUUGAGUAAAUCAAGUGUGUACACUUCAAUGAAUAGACAAUUUCCAUUAACAUACUAAGUAUGUUUAUAAUAUCUAGGAUUCUGUCUUGCCAGAACUCUAAAAACUGGCUGCUGUAAGCAUAAAGCAUUAAUCUUCCAAGUUGAUCAGCAGUUAAGGGUCUCUGUAUCCCACAGCAGAGCACAUCUGGAUGAAGCCCUACCAGAACAAUGGUGGUACUGCACUGUAAUUACAUGAAAGGAUUAUCUACUUCUCAACAUACAACCCCACAGCAGAUGUGCAGUCAUUCACUUUGAAAAUGCUCCUGUAGGACUGCAAGUAUUCCAUGACAGAGCAUGACUUUUUGGGAGAACCUAUUCCUGCCUGCAGGAACCCACCAGCUUUCAGGUGAGUUUUAAGUUGAUCCUUGGAAACUUCACAAAGCCAAAGGAAGGUGCAUUAUAGCCGCCUGUUUGUAAGUAUGUAGCAUUAGUACUUAACUGAACGUUAAGAAGUAUGUAACACCUCCAUCCUAAUUGUAGGGAAUCUGAUCUUACUCUUGGAAUUUUUCUUCAGUAUCUUUGUAAGUUAUCACAACACCAAUGUCAACAAAAUGACAUGUGUGCCCUGAAAUGCAGCAUUUCACAAUACCAAAUUCCAGUUAAUAGUACUAUGCUCAAGUCUGUACCAAAUUUGCUGAGACACCAGUUUCAUUAAACCUCAAUAUGCUUAGAAACAGCUUCACUUCUCUUCACAUACCAAAGCUGCAGAGGUUAGGAUGGAGCCAAAAUGGUCCUGGUGUUAUAAUAAAGCCCUAAGAAAGGCAGCAGUUCUUCUUGCUUAGCAGCUGCUCUGUGAAGCCAGCUUAGCUUACCAGCUGCUUUUGGUCUUCUGCAUUUUUAGGCCAGGGCAUGUACUAGAAGUUUACAGUUAGCACUGUUUAAUAAGUGGUUAACCAGUAACACUCCUGGCUUAAGUACUCAUUAAUGGCUCCAUUUUCACUCUUACUACGCUAAACUUUCAGUCAUCAGAAUGUUUUCAUGCUUUUUGUUCCUUGUUGUUAUAGGAAGAUGUUAGGUGGUCACCCUAGGGCAGAAGCAGCUAGAUGGGGGUACACCUAGCGCUAAUGGGGUAUAAAGAACACAAUCUUUAAAUGCCUUCUUAUAAAAUCAGUAACCUCUUCAGACAGAAGUUACAAUUCUGGAUCUUGAGCACUCAAAUUUCAUAGCUUUACAUUCUCCUAAACAGUUGAAGGGAUCAAUUUUGGCCAUUCAACACUUUAAUCUUUGUAUUACAUUGUUUAAGUCUCUCUGGCUAGAAGAGCUAGAGAAAAAUAAGCAGGCGUAUUAAUGAAGUAUGACUGUAAGUCUCCCAGCUUCUACAGAACAGUGAUGGAAUGUUAAUGUAUUACAGAAAUUAAAACAGUUUAUGUCACCAUGUAUAAGCUUGAGCCAAGACUACUUUUAGGUUCAAAACCAAAUCGUUUUAGAAUGAUUUCCAGUCUAUGGUGUAUUCAGUUCUGUAUCUAUAAGAGAUGCAUUGUUGAUGUCCAGACAGUGCUGUGCCACUCACCUUGAAAGAAAAGUUGUAUUAGUUCCAUAAGGUUUGGGAUUUGCACCAUUCAAACUGAUCGUUAAUUAAGGACAGAAUUUACAGGAUUAAUGUGACACUCUCCAACCCUAAACUUAUCUGACAAGUAAACUUUUACUCAAUGUGGAAACAAACAACAGCAAAGGACCGCAGUUUGUUUUACUCCUCAG